rnacentral:rRNA from 1 species
AAAACUCAAAUGAAUUGACGGGGGCCCGCACAAGCGGUGGAGCAUGUGGUUUAAUUCGAUGCAACGCGAAGAACCUUACCUACUCUUGACAUCCAGCGAACUUGGCAGAGAUGCCUUGGUGCCUUCGGGAACGGUGAGACAGGUGCUGCAUGGCUGUCGUCAGCUCGUGUUGUGAAAUGUUGGGUUAAGUCCCGCAACGAGCGCAACCCUUGUCCUUUGUUGCCAGCACGUAAUGGUGGGAACUCAAAGGAGACUGCCGGUGAUAAACCGGAGGAAGGUGGGGAUGACGUCAAGUCAUCAUGGCCCUUACGAGUAGGGCUACACACGUGCUACAAUGGCGCAUACAAAGAGAAGCGACCUCGCGAGAGCAAGCGGACCUCACAAAGUGCGUCGUAGUCCGGAUCGGAGUCUGCAACUCGACUCCGUGAAGUCGGAAUCGCUAGUAAUCGUGGAUCAGAAUGCCACGGUGAAUACGUUCCCGGGCCUUGUACACACCGCCCGUCACACCAUGGGAGUGGGUUGCAAAAGAAGUAGGUAGCUUAACCUU